rnacentral:rRNA from 1 species
GACGAACGCUGGCGGCGUGCUUAACACAUGCAAGUCGAGCGGUAAGGCCCUUUCGGGGGUACACGAGCGGCGAACGGGUGAGUAACACGUGGGUGACCUGCCCUCAGCUCUGGGAUAAGCCUGGGAAACCGGGUCUAAUACUGGAUAUGACUCCAUGACGCAUGUUGUGGGGUGGAAAGCCUUGUGCGGCUGAGGAUGGGCCCGCGGCCUAUCAGCUUGUUGGUGGGGUGAUGGCCUACCAAGGCGACGACGGGUAGCCGGCCUGAGAGGGCGACCGGCCACACUGGGACUGAGACACGGCCCAGACUCCUACGGGAGGCAGCAGUGGGGAAUCUUGCGCAAUGGGCGAAAGCCUGACGCAGCGACGCCGCGCGAGGGAUGACGGCCUCGGUGUAA